rnacentral:rRNA from 1 species
GACAGAGGUGCCAAGCGUUUAGGCGGAAUCACUGGGCUUAAAGCGUGUGUAGGCGGGUUUGUAAGUACCUUGUGAAAUCCCACGGCUUAACCGUGGAACUGCUGGGUAUACUGCGAAUCUUGAGCUGUCUAGGGGUUGCGGGAACAAACGGUGGAGCGGUGAAAUGCGUAGAUAUCGUUUGGAACGCCAAUGGUGAAAACACGCAACUGGGGACAUGCUGACGCUGAGACACGAAAGCCAGGGGAGCGAACGGG